UACGUAGGGGGCAAGCGUUGUCCGGAAUUAUUGGGCGUAAAGAGCGCGUAGGCGGUCCGAUAAGUCGGCUGUGAAAGUCAUGGGCUCAACCCAUGAAAGCCGGCCGAUACUGUCGGACUAGAGUCCGGAAGAGGCGAGUGGAAUUCCCGGUGUAGCGGUGAAAUGCGUAGAUAUCGGGAGGAACAUCAGUGGCGAAGGCGACUGCCUGGCCCAACACUGACGCUGAGGUGCGAAAGCGUGGGUAGCAAACAGG
rnacentral:rRNA from 1 species